GGAGAGCUGUAGCUCUGUGGUAGAGCAUCUACUUUGCAUGCAGUAUGUCUGCAGUUCAAUCCCCAGCACCUCCA